GCCCUUUAAGAGCGGAGGGAGGGGGUUCUGAACCGCCUGGCUGCGGUGUUUUUGUCUCCAUGUCAGUGAGCGCUCCUGGCCCUAGACGUCUGAACGGAUUUAUAAGGAUAGGUGCUGACCUUGAGAAAGAAGGGAGGGAAGAGAAAGAGAAGAGAAGCCAGAGUGAGGAGAUUGGGGAGGAGGAGAGACCAACCCUGCAGCACACCGAGCAGCUGUGUAGUGAGAGUGCUGGUCACAAUGCCAUGUCAUGUCCGCGGUCUUUCUGCCUGUGUGAACGGCAAGAGAUCAAAUAUACAUGAAAACAUGAAAUGACCCCAGGAAUCGAUAGAACUUCGCUCAGCGAUACCCUAAAACAAUAUAACAUUCAAAAUGGGUGAGUCUUUCCUUUUAAAUGUGACUAAUCCAUCUUUUCUGAAAGUGACUGGUAACUAAAAUAGGUCUGGUAUGGUUACAUUUUCUAAAAUCAACAUUUUGCCAUCUCAGUCUCCAGACUUGAACCCCAUUGAAAACCUGCUGUUUGAAUUGAAGAGGGCAGUCCAUAAGUGUAGAGGAAGGAUAUCAAGGAUCUGGAAAAUUGUGUUAUGGAAGAAUGGUCUAAGAUCUCUCCCAAUGUGUUCUCUGAACUCAUAAAACACUUUAGAAAAAUACUCAAUGUAUCCUCGCAAGGUGAGGUAUUGAAAGCAAUUGAAAACAGGGGUGGCAAUCAUUUUGACCCCUCUCUUUCUCUGAGCAAUUGUAUUAGUAUAAAAAAAUAAUCUUUCCCCCCAAUAAUCUGCAUACAAUAUCUCAGUAUUUGUAUUAUUUAUUUUAUAGUAUUUUUUGUUCAUCUUUAAAAAGGGUGCAAACAAUUCUGGACCUGACUGAAGUACUGAGAGUUUUCUUCCAGAACUAAACCUACUGUAUCUUACCUACUAACCAUGAUGGUCACCCUCCUCUGAUCACAAAGAUAUGUGCAUUGUGUAAUGUGUGGUAAAAAAAUGUGGUAUGUAUGUUUUGAUACAGGUGAGGGACAUCUGUAGCUUUUAUUGAGGGACUCUGUGUGAUAACAAUGUAGCGCUACAUUAGCACAUUCUGAAACGACUUGGGCGUAUCAGUGAAGCAACAACUCACAAUGAUUAAAAGUAGCAAAGCAGCCAUCACACAGCCAUACUGGCAUCCAACAGGACAUCAGCAGUCUGAGACAUACUAUUUUGUGCUUGAAGGAUCUGAGUUUUUCUCCCCUUGAUUUCUAAUCAUAAUAGUCAGAGUGGAGGACCCUGGAGACGGGCAAUGUUAACUUCCGCUGGUCUGGAAUGUGGGGAGGUGGGCAAUGUUAACUUCUGCUGGUCUGGAAUGUGGGGAGGUGGGCAAUGUUAACUUCCACUGGUCUGGAAUGUGGGGAGGUGGGCAAUGUUAACUUCUGCUGGUCUGGAAUGUGGGGAGGUGGGCAAUGUUAACUUCUGCUGGUCUGGAAUGUGGGGAGGUGGGCAAUGUUAACUUCUGCUGGUCUGGAAUGUGGGGAGGUGGGCAAUGUUAACUUCUGCUGGUCUGGAAUGUGGGGAGGUGGGCAAUGUUAACUUCUGCUGGUCUGGAAUGUGGGGAGGUGGGCAAUGUUAACUUCUGCUGGUCUGGAAUGUGGGGAGGUGGGCAAUGUUAACUUCUGCUGGUCUGGAAUGUGGGGAGGUGGGCAAUGUUAACUUCUGCUGGUCUGGAAUGUGGGGAGGUGGGCAAUGUUAACUUCUGCUGGUCUGGAAUGUGGGGAGGUGGGCAAUGUUAACUUC